rnacentral:sRNA from 1 species
CAUAUUUUCUGCUUGACACAUUGUGAUCACAUCAAAAUUUGUAUAUGAUGUUACUUUCUCAUGUUUGUAGUGUUUGUUUUAUAAAGUAGCACAUACAAAUUUUGAUGUAGUGGUACAAAGUGGUACUUGCUUAUCAACUAUGUUAAUUCAUUCAGAUCUGAAUCAUCAUUGAAUUUCUCUGUCAUUGACUCAAACUUGCGUCUGGUGUCAGUACAAAAGAAAGAGAAUAGAGAGAAAUAAGGACAGAGCUUCAAGAACAAGAUUUGAUUGUGCUGAGUUCCAUUCUAUAUCUUAAUUAGGAC